UAAGGAUUAUGCUGCAGCAAGAACAAGAGCGAGACCAGUGUCAGCAGGGAUCUGCGUUUCCCAGAAGAAGCUUCGACAGAUUGUGGAUCCCAGCCAGAGGCUCCUCGGGCAGCUGCACAAAAUUGUCUACAUCUCUCAACUUCCACCAGCUCCGCACCACAACAUCAGACGUCGAGUCAUCGAAAGAUUUAAAAAGUCUCUGUUCCACUAUGGAAGCGAUCC